rnacentral:rRNA from 1 species
GAAGUUUGGACCGUGUCUCAGUUCCAAUGUGGCCGAUCACCCUCUCAGGUCGGCUACUGAUCGUCGCUUUGGUGGGCCGUUACCCCGCCAACUGGCUAAUCAGACGCGGAUCCAUCUCACACCGAUAAAUCUUUUACCCCUGCACCAUGCGGUGCUGUGGUCUUAUGCGGUAUUACCAGCCGUUUCCAGCUGCUAUCCCCCUGUGUGAGGCAGGUUAUCCACGCGUUACUCACCCGUCCGCCACUAAGUUGGGCUUCCAUCCGAAAAUUUCUGCUCAACCCCGUUCGACUUGCAUGUGUUAGGCACGCCGCCAGCGUUCAUCCUGAGCCAUGAUCAAAACUCU